rnacentral:lncRNA from 1 species
GGGCCGGGUGCGCGGGCACAAAGGGGCCGCUGCACAUGGCAGGCAGGCGAGCAGAUGCCAGCAGACAGCUUUUUGUUUUGUGGAAGGUAGUACUUGCAAGGGAUGAAACUGGAUAUUUUACUGAGGAGAUUUCUAAGCAAAAUGUCGAAGAAGUGACUUGGUUCCUCCCAGUUGAUUGUAGUAAAAUGCAAGAAGAGAGAAAUGAAUUGAAAAAGGAAUUGUUGAGCAAAAAUGAACCAGAGUUUAAAGAUUUGGAAAAUUCUCUGUCUGUUCAUAUGACGAAAAAUGAGAAAGUGUGUACUGAAGAGAACACUAAGGGUGUGGUGGACCAACCAUUUCAUAAAGAGAUUAGUGUGGCUGUGUACCAUGAACUUAAUCAGCCAUUUCAACAGAGGCCGGGAAUACAGAUGGGAUUACACCUGCAGAGACACUGCUGGCUGGGACUAAAAAAAACAGAACAUGGAAUGGAAUGAAGGAAGGCCGUGACUUUGUGCUAUCAUCUAGUAAAAGGGAUGAAGGGCCCCGAGGCAAUUUGGAGGUCCUCUGCCUCCAAUUUGAAGGACUAUUGCCCUGGUUUCAAUAGUCCAGACAGCUUCCAACCAAAGAUGUGGAGGCACAAUCUUUGCCUGGUAGAGAAGCUAGGGGUGCAACAUCUGGCCAGGAAUGCUGCUGGGGUGGGACCUUUACCCUAGUGGCUCCAGAAGGCAGGGCAUCAAACCAAGGAUUACUCCCAAGCCUU